UACGUAGGGUGCAAGCGUUAAUCGGAAUUACUGGGCGUAAAGCGUGCGCAGGCGGUGAUGUAAGACAGGUGUGAAAUCCCCGGGCUUAACCUGGGAACUGCAUUUGUGACUGCAUCGCUGGAGUGCGGCAGAGGGGGGAUGGAAUUCCGCGUGUAGCAGUGAAAUGCGUAGAUAUGCGGAGGAACACCGAUGGCGAAGGCAAUCCCCUGGACCUGUACUGACGCUCAUGCAC
rnacentral:rRNA from 1 species